CUUACAGAUAAACAGUCGCCUUGCACUUCCACCCACAAUAACAACUUCAUCCUUAUGAAGUUGAUAUAGUACCCAGAGUGGUCCUUUAAUUAGAUAGAACGAUAUAUAACAGCUGAAAGCAGGAAUGGAAGUAAAUAGAGAAGUGACUUGGCACCACACUACCCUUCUCUGAACAACUGUGUGUAGCAAGUGAAGGAAACCAUGUAAUCACAACUAUUUCCAUGCUAUCAUCAACCUAUAAUACACCAUAAUGACCACCAGCAUCUGUAAUAACACUGUCAGCUACCAAUUUCACUGAGCUGCCAACUAUAGAGUCCUCUACCAUCUGCUAUACCUGUACCGUCU